CGCUGGCAGCCCGAGCCGAGUCCGAGGGCGAGCGAGGAGCGCGGCCCAGAGCGGUCAGGCCCGAGCCGCGCGGCUGCCCCCCGGCGGCCACAGCCGGCACUGCAGGCACCGCUCCUCUCGGCCACGGGGCGGCCCAGGAAAGUGAUUUUCUUAGACCUCCAAAGCUGAGGACUUUGCCCGGGGCGAACUUCAGCAUAGCAGCAGCAACGCAGUCCAGGGGGUGACCAUGGGAGCAGGAGGACGGGUGAGAUGCGGUGAAGGGGACAUGAUCGCACACAGGGAGGUUGAAGAACCAGAAGGCCAGCGUGCUGAGCAUCCCUGUGGACACUGGAGUCAGGAUGACAGCUGGAGUGGCAGGACAAGGAUGAGUCUAGAUUAGCCCUGAGCUAACAUCUGCCACCAAUCCUCCUCUUUGUUGACGAAGACUGGCCCU